UGAGGUGUUAAGUAUUGAUUAUGAAUUCCAUGGGAAAGAGGUUGGUGGCUGACGUAGCAGUUGGUAAGAAAGGUGUUGCUUGGCUAUUAGAUGGCUUCGAGUAACAUUCUUACAUAUGACAAUAUUUUUCCAUGGGCAAAGUAGCAUCAUCACUCUUUUCAGUUUUUUAAACCUCUUUAUAAUUUAGAUGUGAUUAAAAAGAGGGGCCUUUUUUAUUUUUACCAAUCUUGAGUGAGGAUUCUCUUCACUCAUAUAAUGUUCUUGCAGAUUCCGACACCCAAAAGAGGUGAGAUUGUAAGCCAGCUUGGUGAUGCAUUAAGGGUCAAAUUGGAUCCGUUCAUUGAACUUACUUUAAUGUUGUAUUUGCAGGCAAUGGAAUUUCUCAAGUCCCUUGAGAUGGUGUUCUAUUGAAGGUUGAGAUUUAAUUUCCGAUCCCUGACACAUUGAUUUGAUAUUAUCUGAAAAGGAAGAGCCUUUCAAAAAGGAGCCCAAGACCCAGGUCACAUCCAACAAGAAUAAGCCCCAAAUGCGGUGAAUGUAUGUAUUUUAAUAUGAGAUUUCGCUUGGUGAAACUUUUAACUUUAGUAUAAUUUUGUGUAGAAGCCUCUUAAUAAAAGUGAAGCAGUUGUUGCUUCUAAUGUGCUGGAUAAUAGUUUUGCUUUUGAUCCAACCCUCAAUAAGAUUGCCAAAAAUGAGGAGGGCCUAUAUGGAGAAUCAGAAAAUCCUGCAACUGGGAAUCAAUAAAUAGACAUCAUGGGAUCUUUUGACCAAGAUUCACCACCAACCCAGAGAAAACUAAGCUGGAGGAAGCAGUAACACAUGCAGAUAUGGCUUUCAAAGUUCACUUGAUUAUCCCCCUCCUGAGACUUUCUCUAAGGCAUACAAGCUGUGAAAGAAUCUCUCAUUGAGCAUAUCCCCCUCUUGAUUCCCUAAGAUAUAUCAGCUGUGAAAGAAUCUCUCCCCUAGAAUUUGAGCAUGUCUCUGGAAACAUCUCUCAUUUUACUUUUGUGUGCUUGCAGAAGUUGUCAGUGAUUGAAUUGUGAAACUGUAUUACUCCAUGUGACCAAGUAAACUGCUUUAUUUCUAAUGCAGCCAUCUUCUUUAUGGUGGAAGCCUCUUAAUUUAU